rnacentral:rRNA from 1 species
AUUGAACGCUGGCGGCAUGCUUUACACAUGCAAGUCGAACGGCAGCGCGGGCUUCGGCCUGGCGGCGAGUGGCGAACGGGUGAGUAAUACAUCGGAACGUGCCCAGUAGUGGGGGAUAGCUCGGCGAAAGCCGGAUUAAUACCGCAUACGACCUGAGGGUGAAAGCGGGGGAUCUUCGGACCUCGCGCUAUUGGAGCGGCCGAUGGCAGAUUAGCUAGUUGGUGGGGUAAAGGCCUACCAAGGCGACGAUCUGUAGCUGGUCUGAGAGGACGACCAGCCACACUGGGACUGAGACACGGCCCAGACUCCUACGGGAGGCAGCAGUGGGGAAUUUUGGACAAUGGGCGAAAGCCUGAUCCAGCAAUGCCGCGUGUGUGAUGAAGGCCUUCGGGUUGUAAAGCACUUUUGGCGGGGACGAAAAGGACUGUGCCAAUACCACGGUUCGAUGACGGUACCCGAAGAAUAAGCACCGGCUAACUACGUG